rnacentral:rRNA from 1 species
CGUAAACGACCUGCCUUAAGGAUGGGGAUAACAGACGGAAACGACUGCUAAUACCGAAUACGUUCUAAGCAUCGCAUGGUGCAUAGAAGAAAGGGUGGCCUCUACAAGAAAGCUAUCGCCUUAAGAGGGGUUUGCGACUGAUUAGGUAGUUGGUGAGGUAACGGCUCACCAAGCCGACGAUCAGUAGCCGGUCUGAGAGGAUGAACGGCCACACUGGAACUGAGACACGGUCCAG